AACGGGUGCGGAACACGUACACAACCUUCCUUCGAGCGGGGAAUAGCCCAGAGAAAUUUGGAUUAAUACCCCAUAGUAUAUUGAAAAGGCAUCUUUUUAAUAUUAAAGAUUUAUCACUUGAAGAUGGGUGUGCGGCUGAUUAGGUAGUUGGCGGGGUAACGGCCCACCAAGCCGACGAUCAGUAACUGGUGUGAGAGCACGACCAGUCACACGGGCACUGAGACACGGGCCCGACUCCUACGGGAGGCAGCAGUAAGGAAUAUUGGUCAAUGGACGCAAGCCUGAACCAGCCAUGCCGCGUGGAGGAUGAAGGUCCUCUGGAUUGUAAACUUCUUUUAUAUGGGACGAAAAAAGAUCUUUCCAGAUCAACUGACGGUACCAUAUGAAUAAGCACCGGCUAACUCCGUGCCAGCAGCCGCGGUAAUACGGAGGGUGCAAGCGUUAUCCGGAUUCACUGGGUUUAAAGGGUGCGUAGGUGGGUUGGUAAGUCAGUGGUGAAAUCCCCGAGCUUAACUUGGGAACUGCCAUUGAUACUAUCAGUCUUGAAUCCG
rnacentral:rRNA from 1 species